rnacentral:misc_RNA from 1 species
GAAAUGCGAUACGUAAUGCGAAUUGCAGAAUCCGUGAGUCAUCGAACCUUUGAACGCACCUUGCGCUUCCGGGUAACCGGGAGCAUGUCUGUUGGAGUGCCUGUUCUCAACCACAACUUUUCUUUUUUUAUAGAAGAAGAGUGUGUCACUCCUGUGUACCUUUUGGGGGCACAGGAGUCGUUUAAAACCCGAUAGAUGAAAGUUCUUCACAUCUAUUAUAUGCAUAUACAUUUGUUUGUAUGUAUGUAUGUAUGUACAACAAAAAGCACAUAAUGGGUUGUUGAGUGUCGUGAGUAAUUCUUUACAACGCUUAUUCAACUUUUUUGUUAUGUGUGUACAUAUAAUAAUAGAUUGCAUACACACUUUCCCAUCGGGCCUCCAAUCAGACAAGAAGACCCGCUGAAUUUAA